rnacentral:rRNA from 1 species
CUGAGGUUACUGCUAKCUGRGRUUCGACUAAGCCAUGCGAGUUGAAUGUUCUUCGUGAACAUGGCGGACUGCUCAGUAACACGUGGACAACCUACCCUUGGGUCCGGCAUAAUCCUGGGAAACUGGGAAUAAUUCCGGAUAGGUCACCGAUGCUGGAAUGCGCGGUGGCCGAAAGCUCCGGCGCCCGAGGAUGGGUCUGCGGCCUAUCAGGGUUGUAGUGGGUGUAACGUACCUACUAGCCUACGACGGGUACGGGUUGUGAGAGCAAGAGCCCGGAGAUGGAUUCUGAGACACGAAUCCAGGCCCUACGGGGUGCAGCAGGCGCGAAAACUUUACAAUGCGGGAAACCGUGAUAAGGGGAUCUCGAGUGCCAGCAUAUAAUGUUGGCUGUCCAGAUGCCUAAAAAGCAUCUGUUAGCAAGGGCCGGGCAAGACCGGUGCCAGCCGCCGCGGUAACACCGGCGGCCCGAGUGGUAACCGCUAUUAUUGGGUCUAAAGGGUCUGUAGCCGGCCAGGUAAGUCCCUUGGGAAAUCUGGCAGCUCAACUGUCAGGCUGCUAGGGGAUACUGUUUGGCUUGGGACCGGGAGAGGUGAGAGGUACCUUGGGGGUAGGGGUGAAAUCUUGUGAUCCUCGAGGGACCACCAGUGGCGAAGGCGUCUCACCAGAACGGGUCCGACGGUAAGGGACGAAAGCUAGGGGCACGAACCGGAUUAGAUACCCGGGUAGUCCUAGCCGUAAACGAUGCUCGCUAGGUGUCAGUCACGGUGCGACCGUGAUUGGUGCCGUAGGGAAGCCGUGAAGCGAGCCACCUGGGAAGUAUGGCCGCAAGGCUGAAACUUAAAGGAAUUGGCGGGGGAGCACUACAWCSSGUGGAGCCUGCGGUUUAUUG